rnacentral:rRNA from 1 species
GAGUGGCGGACGGGUGAGUAACGCGUGAGUAAUCUGCCUCAUACAGGAGAAUAACACUAAGAAAUUGGUGCUAAUACUCCAUAAGCUCACAUUAUGACAUCAUAGAGUGAGAAAAGAUUUAUCGGUAUGAGAGGAGCUCGCGUCUGAUUAGCUAGUUGGUGGGGUAACGGCCUACCAAGGCGACGAUCAGUAGCCGACCUGAGAGGGUGAUCGGCCACAUUGGAACUGAGACACGGCCCAAACUCCUACGGGAGGCAGCAGUGGGGAAUAUUGCACAAUGGGGGAAACCCUGAUGCAGCGACGCCGCGUGAGCGAAGAAGUAUUUCGGUAUGUAAAGCUCUAUCAGCAGGGAAGAAAAUGACGGUACCUGACUAAGAAGCACCGGCUAAAUACGUGCCAGCAGCCGCGGUAAUACGUAUGGUGCAAGCGUUAUCCGGAUUUACUGGGUGUAAAGGGAGCGUAGACGGCUGUGUAAGUCUGAAGUGAAAGCCCGGGGCUCAACCCCGGGACUGCUUUGGAAACUAUGCAGCUAGAGUGUCGGAGAGGUAAGUGGAAUUCCCAGUGUAGCGGUGAAAUGCGUAGAUAUUGGGAGGAACACCAGUGGCGAAGGCGGCUUACUGGACGAUGACUGACGUUGAGGCUCGAAAGCGUGGGGAGCAAACAGGAUUAGAUACCCUGGUAGUCCACGCCGUAAACGAUGACUACUAGGUGUCGGGGAGCAAAGCUCUUCGGUGCCGCAGCAAACGCAAUAAGUAGU